rnacentral:rRNA from 1 species
UACGUAGGGGGCAAGCGUUGUCCGGAAUUAUUGGGCGUAAAGAGCGUGUAGGCGGUCCGGUAAGUCAGCUGUGAAAGUCAAGGGCUCAACCCUUGAAAGCCGGUUGAUACUGUCGGGCUAGAGUCCGGAAGAGGCGAGUGGAAUUCCCGGUGUAGCGGUGAAAUGCGCAGAUAUCGGGAGGAACACCAAUGGUGAAGGCAGCUCGCUGGGACGGUACUGACGCUGAGACGCGAAAGCGUGGGGAGCAAACAGG